AGAGUAGUACAGAAGGAACUCUAAUGCGCAGGCGCUUCGGUGGGGCAGCAGCAAAUGUGCGUGAUCUGGCUAAAGAGGGAACCCAGAAAGGGUGUCAGCUCCAAAUAUGGAUUAGCCACAGCCUUUCCACGAGGGGGAAUGGUGACCAUAUGUUUGCAAAUACAGUGAACCCACAUGUUGAAGCUUUCUAGUAUAAUAAAAAUUUCAACUGUUCUGUUGAAUCAUCUGCCUGAUUGGAGGCUACAGAAAAGAUGUCAUCUUAGGAGUGCUUGCUCUGAGUGAGGCUCAUCUUCAAAUCUGAAUGACCACAAGGAGAUUUGAUUAUACAUGUGAACACCUCAGAAGGCACAGCCCACCCAGAAGGCAGACAGGUCAGGCUGCUUUUUCUUCAUUGCUUGGAUUCAAUCCUCCGGGCGGCUCAGGCUCAAACAUAACUUAAGCAUGAUUAAACUUUAGAAGAAGCUGCCAGGAAGACUGUGAAAUCUUCAUGCCCAAGGAUCCCUAAAAUUAGGAGCAACAACCACUUGGCUCAGACGGUUUAUGGAGGCAAAGGUUUGGAUGGGAUUAGAGAUUUCUAAAUGUGAGUUCGUGUCCUCUGCCAGACCACCUUACUUCCACCAUUCCUCAGCAAAUCAAGAAAAACAGGAGAAAAGACAUGCCUUUCCAUAAGUUAAAUCUAUUCUGUUUUAAUUCUAUAUUAUAUCUGCUGUACAACUUCUUUUGUUUGUAACACCAUAUUGUUGCUAGUAACUGGAAAUUAAUUUUCACAUGCCUCAGCUUAGAAAAAUAAAAAGCAGCCCUGCAUCAAUCCCAA
rnacentral:lncRNA from 1 species